UUGGAGGGCAAGUCUGGUGCCAGCAGCCGCGGUAAUUCCAGCUCCAAUAGCGUAUAUUAAAGUUGUUGCAGUUAAAAAGCUCGUAGUUGAAUUUUAGACUUGGCCGGGCGGUCCGUCUUUGGCGAGUACUGUUCCGUUGUCGGGUCUUCCUUCUGGUGAACCAGCAUGUCCUUAAUUGGGUGUGUUGGGGAGCCAGGACCAUUACCUUGAAAAAAUUAGAGUGUUUAAAGCGGGCUAUUGCUUGAAUAGAUUAGCAUGGAAUAAUAGAAUAGGACGUUGUGGUUCUAUUUUGUUGGUUUCUAGGACCACCGUAAUGAUUAAUAGGGAUAGUUGGGGGCAUUAGUAUUCAAUUGUCAGAGGUGAAAUUCUUGGAUUUAUUGAAGACUAACUAUUGCGAAAGCAUUUGCCAAGGAUGUUUUCAUUAAUCAAGAACGAAAGUUAGGGGAUCGAAGACGAUCAGAUACCGUCGUAGUCUUAACCAUAAACUAUGCCGACUAGGAAUCGGGCGACGUUAUUUUCACGACUCGUUCGGCGCCUUACGGGAAAC
rnacentral:rRNA from 1 species